GAAACUCUUUGUGUCUGUAGUUCCCAAAUGAAGAAGACACCUUCCAUAAGUUUGUCUCUCCGCACGAGGUGCUUCCCUUCACUGAAGGUGAGAUUCUCUCAAAGGUGAACGUACACUGUCCGGUGUUUGACUACGUCCCACCUGAGCUCAUCACACUGUUCAUCUCCAACAUCGGAGGACACGCACCGUCCUACAUCUACCGACUCAUGAGCGAACUUUACCACCCUGAAGACCACGAGCUUUAACCAGUGUAAUGAAUUAAUAAAUUAAGUGAUGAUUGA